GAAUAUUGGGCAAUGGGGGAAACCCUGACCCAGCAACGCCGCGUGAGGGAAGAAGGUUUUCGGAUCGUAAACCUCUGUCCUUGGUGAAGAGAAGAAGACGGUAGCCAAGGAGGAAGCCCCGGCUAACUACGUGCCAGCAGCCGCGGUAAUACGUAGGGGGCAAGCGUUGUCCGGAAUGAUUGGGCGUAAAGGGCGCGUAGGCGGCCUGUUAAGUCUGGAGUGAAAGUCCUGCUUUCAAGGUGGGAAUUGCUUUGGAAACUGGCGGGCUGGAGUGCAGGAGAGGUUAGUGGAAUUCCCGGUGUAGCGGUGAAAUGCGUAGAGAUCGGGAGGAACACCAGUGGCGAAGGCGACUAACUGGACUGUAACUGACGCUGAGUCACGAAAGCGUGGGUAGCAAACA
rnacentral:rRNA from 1 species